rnacentral:rRNA from 1 species
AUUGAACGCUGGCGGCAUGCCUUACACAUGCAAGUCGAACGGCAGCACGGGUGCUUGCACCUGGUGGCGAGUGGCGAACGGGUGAGUAAUACAUCGGAACGUACCUUAUCGUGGGGGAUAACGCAGCGAAAGCUGUGCUAAUACCUCAUACGCCCUGAGGGGGAAAGCGGGGGAUCGAAAGACCUCGCGCGAUUAGAGCGGCCGAUGCCUGAUUAGCUUGUUGGUGGGGUAAAAGCCCACCAAGGCGACGAUCAGUAGCUGGUCUGAGAGGACGAUCAGCCACACUGGGACUGAGACACGGCCCAGACUCCUACGGGAGGCAGCAGUGGGGAAUUUUGGACAAUGGGGGCAACCCUGAUCCAGCAAUGCCGCGUGAGUGAAGAAGGUCUUCGGGUUGUAAAGCUCUUUUGUCAGGGAAGAAACACCGGCUCUAACACAGCCCGGGAAUGACGGUACCUGAAGAAUAAGCACCGGCUAACUACGUGCCAGCAGCCGCCGCGG